UUACGGCCACAUCACGUUGAAACACCGGCUCCCGUACGAUCACCCAAGUUAAGCAACGUCGAGCCUAGUCAGUACCUAUAUUGGUGACCACUUGGGAAUACCAAGUGCUGUAAG